AAGCUAUCUUCUUGUAACAUUUUUAUUUUCACUAAGGAAGAAAGAUUAAAAAAAUGCUGUCGAUGAAAGAAACAGCUUCGAACAUUGCAGCUUCUGCAAAGUCUGGCAUGGACAAGACCAAAGCUACCUUGGAGGAAAAGGCGGAGAAGAUGACGACGCGAGACCCUGUUCAGAAACAGAUGGCCACACAGAAGAAAGAAGCAAAGAUUAACCAGGCUGAGAUGCAGAAGAGAGAAGUGCGUGAGCACAACCACUACAAGAAAAAGUAACCGACUCCGACGAAAAGGCCCGAUAACCCAAGUUCUCGGAAAAUCUCCAACGACUAACCGAGAAAAUGGUGUGGAAUUUUCAAAUUCAUCGAAAAUUUGUAGAAACUUUCCGACGAAAAUAUAUUCUCGACAAAUUCUCGAUCUUGUAUUGCUUUUCAAACCAAAGUUCCUUAAACCACCGCGCUUGAUCUCCUUGCACCGCCACUAUGCAACUCCUUCCACCGCCGUCACCUCUCACUCCACCGCCACCGUCACGGCCAGCUUCAUAUCCUACAUAGGUACCAUUGCCCACCACAUCGUCAACCGUGUACCCUACACCGGCGCAGUCGCACUCUACGCCAGCACCGUCGCACUCUACGUCGUCACCGUCGCACUCUACGCUGGCACCGUCGCACUCGCAUCCUGAACCGGCACUAUCCGUAAUAAUAUAGUUUUA